GGUACGAACGCUGGCGGACGCGCCUAACCACGAGUGCAAGUCGAACGAGCGAGAGAGAGCUUGCGUUUCUCGAAGCGGAGUGGCGAACGGGUGAGUAACGCGUGAGGAACCUGCCUCAAAGAGGGGGACAACAGUUGGAAACGACUGCUAAUACCGCAUAAGCCCACGGCUCGGCAUCGAGCAGAGGGAAAGGAGAAAUCCGCUGAUAGAUGGGCUUGCGUCUGAUUAGAUAGUUGGUGGGGUAACGGCCUACCAAGUCGACGAUCAGUAGCCGGACUGAGAGGUUGAACGGCCACAUUGGGACUGAGAUACGGCCCAG
rnacentral:rRNA from 1 species